AACGCGUAUGCAACCUACCUUCUACAGGGGGAUAGUCCAGAGAAAUUUGGCAUAAUACCCCAUACGAUCACUUGUUGGCAUCGAUAGAUGAGGAAAACUCCGGUGGUAGAAGAUGGGCAUGCGUCCUAUUAGUUAGUUGGUAAGGUAACGGCUUACCAAGACAUCGAUAGGUAGGGGUCCUGAGAGGGAGAUCCCCCACACUGGUACUGAGACACGGACCAGACUCCUACGGGAGGCAGCAGGGAGGAAUAUUGGACAAUGGAGGCAACUCUGAUCCAGCCAUGCCGCGUGCAGGAAGACGGCCCUAUGGGUUGUAAACUGCUUUUAUACAGGAAGAAACGCCGCUACGUGUAGCGGUUUGACGGUACUGUACGAAUAAGGAUCGGCUAACUCCGUGCCAGCAGCCGCGGUAAUACGGAGGAUCCAAGCGUUAUCCGGAAUCAUUGGGUUUAAAGGGUCCGUAGGCGGUUUUUUAAGUCAGAGGUGAAAUCCUGCAGCUCAACUGUAGCAUUGCCUUUGAUACUGAAAGACUUGAGUUAUUGUGAAGUAAUUAGAAUGUGUAGUGUAGCGGUGAAAUGCAUAGAUAUUACACAGAAUACCGAUU
rnacentral:rRNA from 1 species